rnacentral:lncRNA from 1 species
UCACCUUACGUGCACCUAAAUGCAAAAAGAACAGGGUUGUUAUUUUUUUCUGCCAAAUAAGUCAGUGAAAUUGUUCAGAAAAGUUGCAGUGGGCUUUGCAGUGUUUGCUCUCCGCGGGCGAAAACCACCGUCUCCAAAAUGCGGGGCACCGAGCCUGCCGGUGGCCCGGCCCAGGCGAAGCUCUCCGCGGAAGCCGUCGGCGCUCGGCCCCUGGAAACGACGCUAAAAUAGACCUGCGGAGUCGGGAUCGCACCUCCCGAACGGUGAUGCCGGUGGUUAUGGGCUCUAGCAAAGCCCCUGCGGGAAUUUGCUGCCUAUCGGGAAAAAUCAGGCAAGCGGAGCCCAGCUUCAAGCUGACUUCACCGCAAGCAAAAACUAUUGGAAUGGUUUUAAGCAAUUCUUCUUACUGGGGAGCUGAUAAGGUUGAUUUACAGCAACCCAAUGGAUGCCGAGAGGGCGAAAAGAUACCGGAGCAGCGCUUGGUUUCAGGCCUCGCCUUGGAGCGGAUGCUGAUGCCAGGAGGAGCAUCGGGCCACGAUGGCUGGAAAAAGAAAGGUUGGGAAUUGUUUCGCUGAAAUUGGGAUUGUAAGUGAGGGGG